rnacentral:rRNA from 1 species
UGGGGAAUAUUGGACAAUGGGGGCAACCCUGAUCCAGCCAUGCCGCGUGAGUGAUGAAGGCCUUCGGGUUGUAAAGCUCUUUUGGCGGGGACGGAUGAUGACGGUACCCGCAGAAUAAGCCCCGGCUAACUUCGUGCCAGCAGCCGCGGUAAGACGAAGGGGGCUAGCGUUGUUCGGGAUUACUGGGCGUAAAGCGAGUGUAGGUGGUUGUCCAAGUUGGAUGUGAAAGCCUUGAGCUCAACUCAAGAAAUGCAUUCAGGACUGGAUGACUAGAGGACCGGAGAGGAUAGUGGAAUUUCCCAGUGUAGUGGUGAAAUACGUAGAGAUUGGGAAGAACACCAGUGGCGAAGGCGGCUAUCUGGACGGUUUCUGGCACUAAGACUCGGAAAGCGUGGGGGAGCGAAACAGGGAUUAGAUACCCUGGUAGUCCACGCCGUAAACGAUGGGUGCUAGACGUUGGCGAGCUUGGCUCGUCAGUGUCGCAGCUAACGCGUUAAG